CUCCUUCCUUCCUCCAAGACUUUCCAGGCAAUCGGCUCCUUCCUUCAAGGAGAGAAUGAUAGAGUUGGGGCUACAGAGAUUUUCCAUGGAAAAGGUUGGAAGAGCACACCAAGGAUGGUCCUGGGGACAGGUGAGGAGCAGCACCAGUGGGACUGAGCGCUGUGGAAGGACUUUCCUUGGAGGAGGAACGAGCAGCUCGUGCCUCGAGCCUCCCACCCCGAGCCCAAAGCACUCGAGGAGCUCGUUUGUCAACAGGCAGGAGCCUUUGAUUCCCCUCAUCCCUCCGGGAAGAUUAAACGGCAGGCGGUGUGUGGUGGGAGCAGCAUAUGCCACGGCAGAUGGCACCGACGCAAUUCCAGGGGAGUGAAAUCACUCAUCUGCUCUCCCCUGCCUUUGGAGAGACCGGGAAUGCUGCGGGAGAGAAAGGGGAGAUGGAGCAACCAUGGAAAAUUAGCCUGACAGCCCCUGCUGUUGCUCUGUAACAGGUCACCAGCUGCAAUACCACUCCCAGCAGCCAGAACUGGUGCCUCUUCUCCUGGUCAACCCCACUGCUGUUGAAGAGAUACUCCAAUUUCUCUUCCUCAUAGGAUUCAAAAAUAUAAUAUCUGCAGAGAGGGAACUGAGCAGUCUCUGCAAAAAGCCAUGAACUACGAAAGCUGGGGGAAAAACCCUUUUCACUGACCUCAUCUCUGUGGAUUCUUCCUGCCUUCUC